rnacentral:rRNA from 1 species
GGGUGCGGGCGUUAAUCGGAAUUACUGGGCGUAAAGCGUGCGCAGGCGGCUUUGCAAGACAGAGGUGAAAUCCCCGGGCUCAACCUGGGAACUGCCUUUGUGACUGCAAGGCUAGAGUACGGCAGAGGGGGAUGGAAUUCCGCGUGUAGCAGUGAAAUGCGUAGAUAUGCGGAGGAACACCGAUGGCGAAGGCAAUCCCCUGGGCCUGUACUGACGCUCAUGCACGAAAGCGUGGGGAGCAAACAGGAUUAGAUACCCUGGUAGUCAAGGGCG